UCCCUGAUAGCUCAGUUGAUAAAGAAUCCGCCUGCAAUGCAGAAGACCCAGGUUUGAUUCCUGGGUCGGGAU
rnacentral:tRNA from 1 species